GCUCCGGUGGCCCAGUGGUUAGGGCGUCUGCUUCGGAUGCGGGAGGUCAUGGGUUUGAUCUACGGCUGAGUCA